rnacentral:tRNA from 1 species
GCGCCCAUAGCUCAGUUGGAUAGAGCGUUCCGCUUCGAACGGAAAGGCCGUAGGUUCGACUCCUACUGGGCGCA